GCUGCAGAAGCCAGGGUAGCGUGACCACAGAGAGGGACCUCACUCGCCGGUGUGAACCACCUUAAUCCGAAGCAGGAACCUUCGGGGAAAGAUAAGCCAGAGAGAGACAAGAUCAGUCCCGUACAAGAAAUAAUUGCCAAGGAACUCAGACACGUUGAUAAAGACUGGCACCAUAUGAAGAAGGGCUGUAGGUGUAUGCGAAGCUGGAACGGACUCUGAAAAACCUACUGGCCUGGCCUGUCCUUUGUGAGAUUAUGACGCUGUCUAUCUGAGAGCAUGUGCUCUCUUCUACAACAAUCUCCGCCAACGGGAGCUUCGCAGACUCCCUUUCUUGUCAGGAGAACAGAAACGGCUGGGAAGCCCUGCUGGCUGCCCACUCCAGCCCCAGCCCCCUUGGCAGCUCUCAGACCCACAGCUUUGAAUCUUUCUUACAUCAACAUUUACUUUGUGUAGUUGACAGGAUUCCAAAGCCCACCCAGGCCCACGCUGCAGAGCUGGAUCCAGUGC